CACAAAUAUAGUCUCGCAAGCCUUCACAGAACCCCUGCACACUGUUGAAGUCCUAGAAGAUGAAAACUGCUGUUGUAGUUAUCGUGUUGUUCAUCAUUGCAGUAUGUCUAAUUGAACCUGAACAAGGUAUACUUUGGCCAAGGUGCGAUGGCUGGUGGAACAAUUGUCGACCUUUGCGAAGAUUGCCGUCGGCCGCUCAUUCCUUGCCCAUGCCUUGAUGAUUCUCAAGUGAUGCACAUCAAGUCUGUUCGAUAAUUAUAUUAAAGACUUUCAAGCCUGGCUAUUCUAAUUCAGCUUUAAUCCACUAAACACAAAUUGAUGUAGGUCUAUAUGAUGUACUCUGCAAUUAAA